ACUCCUACGGGAGGCAGCAGUCGGGAAUAUUGCCCAAUGCGCGAAAGCGUGAGGCAGCAACGCCGCGUGCGCGAUGAAGGCCUUCGGGUCGUAAGCGCUUUCUAGUGGGAUGAGGAAGGACAGUACCACUGGAAUAAGGUACGGCUAACUACGUGCCAGCAGCCGCGGUAAUG
rnacentral:rRNA from 1 species